AUUGAACGCUGGCGGCAUGCCUUACACAUGCAAGUCGAACGGUAACAGGUCUUCGGAUGCUGACGAGUGGCGAACGGGUGAGUAAUACAUCGGAACGUGCCCGAUCGUGGGGGAUAACGAAGCGAAAGCUUUGCUAAUACCGCAUACGAUCUACGGAUGACAGCGGGGGAUCUUCGGACCUCGCGCGGCCGGAGCGGCCGAUGGCAGAUUAGGUAGUUGGUGGGAUAAAAGCUUACCAAGCCGACGAUCUGUAGCUGGUCUGAGAGGAUGAUCAGCCACACUGGGACUGAGACACGGCCCAGACUCCUACGGGAGGCAGCAGUGGGGAAUUUUGGACAAAGGGCGCAAGCCUGAUCCAGCCAUGCCGCGUGCAGGAUGAAGGCCUUCGGGUUGUAAACUGCUUUUGUACGGAACGAAAAGGUGCCUUCUAAUAAAGGGCGCUCAUGACGGUACCGUAAGAAUAAGCACCGGCUAACUACGUG
rnacentral:rRNA from 1 species